rnacentral:lncRNA from 1 species
UGCGGUUCUCCUGAGCGGAGCUGUUUUCUCCCAUCACUGGCCUCAAGCGGGCCCUGCGGGCUCCCACACCAGGCCGGCUCAAGAUGAAAGGGGCAGGGGGCCUGUGCGGGUCAGAAACGUAGCCGCGGGGCCGAUCCUGAAGACUGAAGCCGAAGCCGGAUCCGCAGGUCUCCAGUUGCGAUCCUGAGGAACUCCUGGGAGCACAGAGCCAGCCGGUGCCCUCCGUCAUGCACCCCUGGUGGCCUUGAUAGUUCAGUGUGGAAAUCUGGUGCGAGGUGGGCUGUCCAGGUGAG